GGGCCCGUGGCCCAGCCAGGAUAAAGGCGCCGAGCCAAAAAAGCACGCAAGCCUCCGGAGCCGGAGAUCCCUGGGUUCAAAUCCCAGCGGGCCCGCCA
rnacentral:tRNA from 1 species